rnacentral:rRNA from 1 species
AUUGAACGCUGGCGGCAGGCCUAACACAUGCAAGUCGAGCGGAGCGGAGGACGGGUGAGUAAUGCCUAGGAAUCGGCCUGGUAGUGGGGGAAAACGUCCGGAAACGGACGCUAAUACAGCAUACUAUCAGAUGAGCCUAGGUCGCAUUAGCUAGUUGGGGGGGGAAAGGCCUACCAAGGCGACGAUCCGUAACUGGUCUGAGAGGAUGAUCAGUCACACUGGAACUGCGACACGGUCCAGACUCCUACGGGAGGCAGCAGUGGGGAAUAUUGGACAAUGGGCGAAAGCCUGAUCCAGCCAUGCCGCGUGUGUGAAGAAGGUCUUCGGAUUGUAAAGCACUUUAAGUUGGGAGGCGUUACCAACAGAAUAAGCACCGGCUAACUUCGUGCCAGCAGCCGCGGUAAUUC